rnacentral:lncRNA from 10 species
UGCUGAAUGACCUAGAAAAAUUCCUUUAUGCCCUUACUUUACAUGAAAUGCGAUUCUCACAGUGCACAUCCCUCUGAUCGGAUAUGUGAAAUCACCCGUUAAAGAAUGCCAGCAAUUCUGCUGUUAGGACUCUUGGGUUUUCCAGGAGGAAGCCAUGAGUCUUGAUUUUCUUUCCCCCUAAGGUUUGGCUUAACACUGAGGCGCUGGAGCGAGGCUGCUCAACGUCCUACAAUGCCUAGGACAGUCUCUCACAACAAAGAAUUAUGUGUACCCAAAUGUCAGUAAUGCCAGAGUUGAGAAACCUUGCUCUAUAGGAUAUACAGAUGUUGUUUUCAAAGUCACAUCACUUAAUAGGGCUUUAAGUUUCUCUAUCCAAUUUCCUGGAAGACCAUAAUGUAUGUCCUGACACAUUCUGCCCUUCAAGAGUCUGAUGAGAGUUGACUCUUUGCCCUCAGGGAAAAUGCAUAUUUAUUUAGGAUGCUUGAAAAUUAAGUUUAUAGCAAUUGAGUUUCCCUCUAUUUGGCCUCGGAGCACAUUAACGUUCUUUGAAUUACACUGUUAAGAACAUUUUAAGGGUUAUUUUUACAUCCGUGAAAGGCUUUCAAAGCUACAGAGCACAUAGGAUAUAUCAUUCUCAAGGAAGACAGCUCUAGGUGAUUCUGGAAUAAUUUUCUUAUAAGUGGUAGAUAGGGAUUAUUAUUAAUUUUUGUUAAGGGACAUAUUGAUAACCCUGUACUAACAAGUCUCCGUAUUCCUUAUUCCAUUUUCUUCCCACAGAAUCCCAUGAAGUAUGUUCUGUUAUUGUCCUGAUUUUGCAGACAAAUAAAGUGAGGCUUAGAGAAAGCAAGUAGUGCACUCAAGGACCAGUGAGGAGAAGAAAUCACAAGAUGGAUAAAAGAUGGAUUGUGAAGGGAUCUUAAAGACCAUUCAGCCUGGGCCUGGUGGCUCACACCUGUAAUCCCAGUACUCUGGGAGGCUGAUGCUGGCAGAUCACUUGAGCCCAGGAAUUUGAGACCAGCCAGGGCAAUGUAGUGAAAUCCUGUUUCUACAAAAAUUAGCCAGGCAUGGUGAUACGACAGUCUCAGCUACUUGGGAGACUGAGGUGGGAGGAUUGAUUGAGCCAGGGAUGUCGAGGCUGCGGUGAGCAGUGAUUGCAGCACUGCACUCCAGCCUCGGUGACAGAACAAGACCCUGUCUCAAAAACAAAAACAAACACCAAAAAAUCAUUCAUUUGUUACACCCUGUACUUUACAAAUAAGUCAGCUGAAGCCCCCGUGAGGCUAAGUGACUUAGCCAAGGUUAUGUGGCUAGCAAGCAGAAAACACAGCCAUGAGCAAGCAUUAGAGGCAAAAGAUAGAUUUUUGCAUCCACAAACAACUCAACAACAAAGGACACAGAUAGAAGAAAGGGAAAGUCAGUCAAGUAUUGAGGUUGGAGAGACUGAUUCUAGAUAAGUAAAUCAUAUAAGGCCUGUGUUUGAUGGCCUAGACUUUAUCCUUUACUGAGCUGUUUCCCAGACCAUAUUCUGCAAACACUAGUUCCCUAGGAAUUUACUAAGUAUUCCAUGAAAGUAUUCAGUAGUCAUGGAAGUUUGGAAAAUGCAGGGAAUCCCAGGCUGUGAAGUAUGCUAUGGACAUUGUAACUCUCCAAGAGGGAGGUAGAAUACACAGCAGUUCUUGAAAUUUAUUUGACCAGCGAAUCCAUGUCCCCGCAUAGCUUAUGUGAAAGUAGCAUUCCUGAGACCACCUGCUUAUAAAAAGCUGCUGUGCGGGACAGUUUCAAAUGGAGAUUAAAAUGGGCAAUGAGAAAUGAUGAGAGUCACUUCAAAAAAAUACAAUUUAGCAUAAAAAUCUGAUUGUGUCAGCAUUUCCCUC